rnacentral:rRNA from 1 species
AUGAACGCUGGCGGCGUGCCUAAUACAUGCAAGUCGCGCGAACGGACGAGAAGCUUGCUUUUCUGAUGUUAGCGGCGGACGGGUGAGUAACACGUGGAUAACCUACCUAUAAGACUGGGAUAACUUCGGGAAACCGGAGCUAAUACCGGAUAAUAUUUUGAACCGCAUGGUUCAAAAGUGAAAGACGGUCUUGCUGUCACUUAUAGAUGGAUCCGCGCUGCAUUAGCUAGUUGGUAAGGUAACGGCUUACCAAGGCAACGAUGCAUAGCCGACCUGAGAGGGUGAUCGGCCACACUGGAACUGAGACACGGUCCAGACUCCUACGGGAGGCAGCAGUAGGGAAUCUUCCGCAAUGGGCGAAAGCCUGACGGAGCAACGCCGCGUGAGUGAUGAAGGUCUUCGGAUCGUAAAACUCUGUUAUUAGGGAAGAGCAUAUGUGUAAGUAACUGUGCACAUCUUGACGGUACCUAAUCAGAAAGCCACGGCUAACUACGUG